CUCUCUCUCUCUCUCUCUCUCUCUCUCUCUCAUGUCUCACUCUCUCUCUAAGUCGCUCGAAUCACUCACAAGUGCUCCUUGAUUCUCUCUCCCUCCUCUCGGCUCGUGGGAUCUCGUUUUCAAGCUCUGCUCCAAAAGUUACGAUUUCGUUUUUUGGGAGUUUCGGGUCAUUUUUCAAGAAUCAAGUCCUUCGAGGGAUCGAGUCUAGCGUACCGCCGGGCUGGUGUUAGACAAUUGUUAGAUAUUGUCAGAGCUGGUGAGACAGGUAACGGUUUUUAUGCUUUUGGGGUUUGUAAUAUUAUGAUAUGGAUUUGGUAUGUAGUUGGGAACAGUUAGAAACUCUGGUAAGUAUUUGAUGUAAUAGAAAUUUUUCCGCUGUGUAUGUAUAUGAUGAUUAGGAUAGAACACCCGUUUUCCCUUGUUAGGGCGGGUUAUAUAUAUUUAUGGUAUCAGAGAAAUGUGUAUGUUAUGUUUUAGUAGCACUCUGGGCCUGAGUAGAGGGUCGGGACGUUACAAAUAUUCAAAAGAGUAUAGACUUAUGAGUACCCUAACUGGUUUGCCAAGCCCAAACAUUAAGCAAGAAACCACAAAUCUUGAGCCACCGAAUUGGUAACAUGUAAAAGAAAAUCUGACAUGCUGGCAUGGCUUACAAAGAGAAUUGAACCACACCAAAUAAAUCAGAUCAAGAAAUGCCUAACCGAACCUCACAAGUCAGCGUGUAGCAUUGGAGCUGGGAACUAGCAGGAUGAGUGAGGUGGUGCCCAACAACAAUCUUUCAAAGGUGGCAGAUCACCAAGUUCUAAGGAUGCCUACGGUUAUUCUUUUUCAAGAGAAGAAGAACAAGAAGGGGGAAAAAGAACCCAAAGAUGGUUGAAUUGAACUGGGCAUAGCAUCCUACUGGCUGUCAAAGACUCAGACUUGUCGUCCGGCACGAGUUGCAGUUCUAGGAUGGAGGGUAUGGUGUAAAGAGAGUUUUACGUUGUCGUCUCUUAGCCUUUUAGGUCUUACAUCUUUGCUAUGAUACCAUGUCAAAAAGUUUCUGCAACUUGUAACGCCCCAGUCCCAACUUAUGGCCCGAGUGUUACUGUAGUGACGUCUGUGUACCUGAUAUCCUUCUCAACAGAUAUAUACGCAGUGGAAAACAUAAACAUCCAUCAAACUAUUACAAGAGUUCUAACUGCUUGAUAGAUA